UACGUAGGGUGCAAGCGUUGUCCGGAAUUAUUGGGCGUAAAGAGCUCGUAGGCGGUUUUGUCGCGUCUGCUGUGAAAACGCGAGGCUCAACCUCGCGCCUGCAGUGGGUACGGGCAGACUAGAGUGCGGUAGGGGAGAUUGGAAUUCCUGGUGUAGCGGUGGAAUGCGCAGAUAUCAGGAGGAACACCGAUGGCGAAGGCAGAUCUCUGGGCCGUAACUGACGCUGAGGAGCGAAAGCGUGGGGAGCGAACAGG
rnacentral:rRNA from 1 species